AGAACCUGGCUCCGCCCCGGACUCCGCCGGCGCUGGGGAACGCCCUGCGGACCAGGACCAGGACCAGGCCAGGACCAGGACUCGCUGCUGUCGCUGUCCUCCAGCAUGGCCGAGCACCAGCAGCGGCUGGCCGACCUCCCGCACUCCGUCAAGAUGUUCGCUCGUCCAGACGUGAUGGAGUGCUGCCUGCUGCUUCUGCACCGCAGCAAGUCUUCGCCGCCUCUUUCCGACGACCUCCAGCGGCGGGCC